UUGACCCUAAAAACGAAACACAAGGCAAUGCGAAGUUCAGCAUUAAAUGUAAAUGAAAAUUCAAAUAAAUUGAAACCAAAAAACACGCACGUAGCCUCUGACCUGUAAAUUCAACACUCAGGUCACCGAGACACCAUCACCCACCAUGCCGGAGGUCAUCUCCGGUGACGGUGGAACACCAAAGCACAAAUUAAAACCAUCACUGGGAUCGUGACAACAUGCUAAUGCUACUAAUCAGACAAAGUUUGAUUGAAUCUCAACCUAGAGCUCAAUCUGAAGAGGAACUCACGACGAACCCUAGGUCUUUCAAAUAUAAAUUAAACAACGAAUAUUCACAGAUUCAUGAUCAUAUCUUAGGGAUAAUGACCCCUAAAGUAUUGUCUAUGCAGUGGUAACAAGAUCGUGAUAAACGGAGAAGAAGAGUAUUUACCUCAGAAAUGAAUAUUUGUUCCGACGAACUUGAAUUGCAGAAAAUGAAGUUGCGACGGGAAAUCACUUGAACCAGGUGUAAUCGUUAUGCAGGAUCUUCACUUGGUGUGCUCCAUGUAAAAAAUGUGCAUGGUGAAAGUAUGCAGGUCAUUUCAAUUGUGUGCUCUGUUGCAUUUUGAAUUUUGAAGGGUGGAUUGAUCUGCUGAAUUUUCUAUCAUGUAUGCAGUGAUUCAUUAUUUUUCCCUGUUAAAGUCAGUAGGAAAUAUGUUUGUAGGUUCAAUGUGUGGACUAUUAUGUAUGUGGAGUCCUGCUAUUUGGUCUGUUGAACAAGCUUGCAAGUGGAAACUUAGCUUGGAGUUUUUUGUCAUGAGCUUUGUGAAAUUGAAGUGAAGCUGUUGUGAAGAAUCAAAAGGGAAUUUUAGGACUAAUGUUUAGCAUAGAAUUUGUGUAUUGUGAAUGGGAUUGAGUUAUGGAAAAUUGUAGUUUAUGGAAUAUAGGAUUUUAAUGGAAAGUUGUAUUGAAAGUGUGUAUUGUAUUAAUUUGCAAUGGCAAGUUUGAAUGUAUUGGUUGUAUGGGAAUGUAUUGAAAGGCCAUGGAAUUGAAUUGAAUGGUUUAUAGAAUUGAGUUUUGUAUGGAAAGUGUAUUGAAUUACAAGUUGAAAUGUGAAUUGUUUGAAUUGUAUUGGA